rnacentral:rRNA from 1 species
GAAUUCACUAGUGAUUCAGGCCUAACACAUGCAAGUCGAGCGGUAGAGAGAAGCUUGCUUCUCUUGAGAGCGGCGGACGGGUGAGUAAUGCCUAGGAAUCUGCCUGGUAGUGGGGGAUAACGUUCGGAAACGGACGCUAAUACCGCAUACGUCCUACGGGAGAAAGCAGGGGACCUUCGGGCCUUGCGCUAUCAGAUGAGCCUAGGUCGGAUUAGCUAGUUGGUGAGGUAAUGGCUCACCAAGGCUACGAUCCGUAACUGGUCUGAGAGGAUGAUCAGUCACACUGGAACUGAGACACGGUCCAGACUCCUACGGGAGGCAGCAGUGGAGAAUAUUGGACAAUGGGCGAAAGCCUGAUCCAUAAGGGCCGCGUGUGUGAAGAAGGUCUUCGGAUGUAAAUUAAAGGGAGUUGGGAGGAAGGGCAUUAACCUAAUACGUUA